AACACGCUUCUUCCCUUGCACAAACCCUAAUUUUGAUAUCCAUUUUUCUGGCCGUUUCACUCUGAAUCUCAACGAAGACAUCAAUCUUUCAUCAUCGCGAACCCUAAUCGCGAUGUUUAUCAACGAAGACAUCAAUCUUUCUUCCUUUUAUCAAUCUAUUUAAGGAUGACGGCGAUUCAAGCCGAUUGGUGAAGAUUUCACAAAAUCAAUGAAGAAUCUAGCCUCUCAGCUUCAGAUUU